AGUGAACGCUGGCGGUAGGCCUAACACAUGCCAGUCGAACGGCAGCACAGUAAGAGCUUGCUCUUACGGGUGGCGAGUGGCGGACGAGUGAGGAAUACAUCGGAAUCUACUUUUUCGUGGGGGAUAACGUAGGGAAACUUACGCUAAUACCGCAUACGACCUACGGGUGAAAGCAGGGGAUCUUCGGACCUUGCGCGAUUGAAUGAGCCGAUGUCGGAUUAGCUAGUUGGCGGGGUAAAGGCCCACCAAGGCGACGAUCCGUAGCUGGUCUGAGAGGAUGAUCAGCCACACUGGAACUGAGACACGGUCCAGACUCCUACGGGAGGCAGCAGUGGGGAAUAUUGGACAAUGGGCGCAAGCCUGAUCCAGCCAUACCGCGUGGGUGAAGAAGGCCUUCGGGUUGUAAAGCCCUUUUGUUGGGAAAGAAAAGCAGCAGGUUAAUACCCCGCUGUUCUGACGGUACCCAAAGAAUAAGCACCGGCUAACUUCGUG
rnacentral:rRNA from 1 species